AAAAUGACUUUGAAAAACAGUAACAUCACCUGCCUCAAAGGGUUGCUUUCAAGAAGGGAAAAAUGAGAUAGACUCUACAAUGCCUGGCAGCAGCCAGCUUGAAGACAGAACAGUUUGGGCUCCAGUCCUUACUGCAUUUGAUAUUUCCACCUACGCAUCUCUCCAGCUUCUCCUGUAUCCAUCCCUAAGCCCCACAGCAUCCAGAUCUAGAAAUCUUCAAGGGCUCAUACCCAUAUUUCUUUUUAAAAGUUCAACAACAACAAACUCUCAAUAUGAAUAUGAACCUUUUAUUUCUUCCUGCAUGCUCUUUUUCUGUUAGAAUCAUCCCAAAAAUAAAAGGAAAC
rnacentral:lncRNA from 1 species